rnacentral:rRNA from 1 species
AGUGAACGCUGGCGGUAGGCCUAACACAUGCAAGCCGAACGGCAGCACAGGAGAGCUUGCUCUCUGGGUGGCGAGUGGCGGACGGGUGAGGAAUACAUCGGAAUCUACCUUUUCGUGGGGGAUAACGUAGGGAAACUUACGCUAAUACCGCAUACGACCUACGGGUGAAAGUGGGGGACCGCAAGGCCUCACGCGAUUAGAUGAGCCGAUGUCCGAUUAGCUAGUUGGCGGGGUAAUGGCCCACCAAGGCGACGAUCGGUAGCUGGUCUGAGAGGAUGAUCAGCCACACUGGAACUGAGACACGGUCCAGACUCCUACGGGAGGCAGCAGUGGGGAAUAUUGGACAAUGGGCGCAAGCCUGAUCCAGCCAUACCGCGUGGGUGAAGAAGGCCUUCGGGUUGUAAAGCCCUUUUGUUGGGAAAGAAAUCCUGUCGGUUAAUAACCGGUGGGGAUGACGGUACCCAAAGAAUAAGCACCGGCUAACUUCGUGCCAGCAGCCGCGGUAACAC